rnacentral:rRNA from 1 species
CAGCCGCCACGGUAAUACGUAGGUGGCAAGCGCUGUCCGGAAUUAUUGGGCGUAAAGGGCUCGCAGGCGGUUUCUUAAGUCUGAUGUGAAAGCCCCCGGCUCAACCGGGGAGGGUCAUUGGAAACUGGGAAACUUGAGUGCAGAAGAGGAGAGUGGAAUUCCACGUGUAGCGGUGAAAUGCGUGGAGAUGUGGAGGAACACCAGUGGCGAAGGCGACUCUCUGGUCUGUAACUGACGCUGAGGAGCGAAAGCGUGGGGAGCGAACAGGAUUAGAUACCCCGGUAGUCCCUGUCUCUUAUAC